GAACUGGCUUAGGGUGGGAUUACAUACGCCUCCUGCCACAUCGGAUUUCCUUCUAUUUUGUCAGGGGUGGCAUCAUCCAGUGAGUAAAUCUGUUAGUGAUCUCCCUCGCAUAACCUAGGAAUUCUCUCAGGAUCCAUUUUUCCAGUAGUUUUGAGAAAGCGACCAACAACAGCAAAGAGAGUAGUUCUUCCAUUCCAAGAGCAGCCAUCUUGCUUAACUGACAAACUAGAGAGAACUGCAAGGACUCAGUACAUCCCUGGCACAGUCCAUUCUCUCUCACAGCAUAUUGUAUGAGACUGUGUGAGUGCUGCUUCCACGCUACACUAAAAACCCAUGGUCCCUGCAUUAUUUGAGCAACUGACAAGCUUCUGAAGUUCAGGUUCGCGAACGCUGAGAGCAGCACCCAGUGGAUUUGUGGCAGAUUUUUGAUGAACCAAGCUGGCUGGUGUCGCCUCAGUUUGUCUAAAUUACCAAGGACCGCUGGAAUUUCCCUGGGAAUAUGUUUCGGGAAAGGUCAGAAACUCUUCAGUCGUCUUCACGCUUCCACUCAGUAGCAACGUUUUUGCACACUCAUUGACUAUCAACUGGUUGUCUAUGACUCAAAUUACAUAAUGAAUCCAGCACAUAAAUUAUUUACUCAGAUUUAAUGCCAGCAACUGUUAUCUUUGUAUUUUUUUCCCCUCUGCCAGCUAAUCUGGCUCAUUUCAUUGGAAUUUUGGUCAUGCCCAUUCUCCUUCUGCACUAAAUUAACUCCAUAACGUAGUAUAAACAGAACAAGCUUGUGUGUGAUAUGCUUAACUGUUAAUUUACCUAAUUAAACUAAUUCAAUUAAAUCAUUUACAUCUUUUUGGUAACAUGCCAGUUGAUACCACAGCAGAAGUGGGAUGUUUCAGAAGAUGAUUGUUCAGCAAAUGAAUGGAAAAAAAAAUAAAAGGAAAACAAAAUGAGACAACCGUCCAAAUCUCUUGGCUUGAAAAUUAAAUGAUACUGAAAAAAUGCAGCUUUCACGGGGCACUGUGAUUAGAUAUUUUUCUGAAAUCAAUUUUCUCUACAAAUUGGUAUUUUAACAGAGUGAUCACAAUCUAUUGUACAAAAUAUUUUAAACACUAUUUGUACAUUCACAUAUUUGGUAUGUUUAAGUAAAGUGUGCUUGUUCCC
rnacentral:lncRNA from 1 species